GCCGCGGCACCUUCGUGACACUUCACUCCUGAAACAACAGCAGCCAUCCCCUCCCGCUAAACCCCGUUUGUUGGCUGAGGCAGCCACCUUUAACCUUCGUAAAAUCAACAUCUCUGCGGUCAAGCACUGAAAAACGCAUGGGAAAAAUGGCACGGAUGGAGGAAUUUCACUGGUUUUGGAACACUGUAAGAUAUGCAGCCCAUGAAAAGUGAAUUUACUGUCAGCUUCUGUCCUGGAAAUAGAGGUCCUGAGGGAUGGAGGUUUUGAGAGCAGAGGUUAUGUGCUGGCCUCCCUCGAGGUGUUUGUAGCCUAAGCCUUGAACCAAAUUUUCAUUGCUGCAUUGCCUGAUGAUCUGUCCUCCACGAGGUUCCAAGGCUACAGAAAACUGUUCCUGAUGUGCAGCAUAUGGAUCUUUGCAUACAGAAAAGGACAUAAAUAGCUGCCCAGUCCUGGGAGCAAGAUAAGAUGCAAUUCUUUGAACUGCAGGAAGGACAACACGAGUGAGUGACAGCAGCAAACCCGUGAGACUGGGGGAGACAACUUUAAUUUAUUUGUACAGCAUGCACAUGGAAGGGUCCUUCCCUCCUGUUUGGGUAAUGAUAAAUGACAAGAUGUCGACAGUUAUUAAUUAAACUGCCUGGCAUAGCAAUGUACAUGAUGAUAAGACCUAAGAAAUGUGUAGCAUUCCUCCUACCCCAUCAUGAGAAUGAGGCCCCUCCACUGUUCUCUGGCACAGCAGAGAUUAGACUAAAGCAUCAAUAUUCCACUACAAGCUGGCUACCUAGUAACUGCCUGAACACAGGGCCCUAAAAAUUGAAAUUCUCCCUCAUGUGAUGUGUAGUAAUUAAACUUCAGCAUUCUUUCUGCAGGAAAUGUUUCUCCUGUGUUGUUCCCACAGAUUGUGCUACAACAACAAUUUUAGCCCCAUGAACUAUUAACCAAUUAUGAAGGGAUUUUCUCAGUCUGCUUUAACUGAGGAUCAAAGACAAAACCCAAUUUUUUUUCUUGCCAGUUAUUGUAAUUUAAGAUGCAAAACCAAGCAUGCACAGGACUCAAGGGUUUGGUCAGUCAAACAAAAUGGACUUAGUAAUUCAGAUCCAUUUAAACUUUUCUGAUUUGCCUUGCUAAUAUUCCAUCUGCUUUUCUUCC